rnacentral:rRNA from 1 species
AGCGAACGCUGGCGGCGUACUUAACACAUGCAAGUCGAACGAGGAUCAUCGGGUUAGCAAUAAUUCGGUGGUCCUAGUGGCGCACGGGUGAGUAACACGUGGGUGACCUGCCCUUGAGCUCGGGAUACCCCCUCGAAGGGGGGACGUAAUACCGGAUACGUUCCUCGGUCGAAGACUGAGGAGGAAAGGUGGCGCAAGCUGCCGCUCUUGGAGGGGCUCGCGGCCUAUCAGCUAGUUGGCGGGGUAACGGCCCACCAAGGCUAUGACGGGUAGCUGGUCUGAGAGGAC